GCGACAAGCUGGAUAAGGGCGUAUGGGGAAUGCCUAGGCUCUCAGAGGCGAUGAAGGACGCGAUAAGCUGCGAAAAGCUGCGGGGAUCGGCACAUACGAUGUGAUCCGCAGGUAUCCGAAUGGGGCAACCCACCAUAUUGAAGGUAUGGUACCCCGCAAGGGGGGCAAACCCGGUGAACUGAAACAUCUAAGUAGCCGGAGGAGGAGAAAACAAAAGUGAUUCCGUGAGUAGUGGCGAGCGAAAGCGGAUUAGUCCAAACCGAUGUUGUUUCGGCAAUAUCGGGGUUGUAGGACCGCGACAUUCGAUGUGCGAUGAAUCAGAACCCUUUGGAAAGAGGGACCGUAGAGGGUGAUAGUCCCGUAAGAGCAAAGAACAUUAUCGAUAGCGGUAUCCUGAGUAGUGCGGGGCACGUGAAACCCUGUAUGAAUCCGGCGGGACCAUCCGCCAAGACUAAAUACUCCUGAGAGACCGAUAGUGAACCAGUACCGUGAGGGAAAGGUGAAAAGAACCCUGAACAAGGGAGUGAAAAAGAUCCUGAAACCAUACGCCUACAAGCGGUCGGAGCCCCUUUUGGGGUGACGGCGUGCCUUUUGCAUAAUGAGCCUACGAGUUACUUUUACUGGCAAGGUUAAGCACUUCAGGUGCGGAUCCGUAGCGAAAGCGAGUCUGAACAGGGCGCCAUAGUCAGUAGUAGUAGACGCGAAACCGUGUGAUCUACCCAUGGGCAGGUUGAAGCUGUGGUAACACACAGUGGAGGACCGAACCCGUUGACGUUGAAAAGUCUUGGGAUGACCUGUGGGUAGGGGUGAAAGGCCAAUCAAACUCGGAAAUAGCUCGUACUCCCCGAAAUGCAUUUAGGUGCAGCGUGUACAUAGUUUUAUAGAGGUAGAGCUACUGAUUGGAUGCGGGGGCUUCACCGCCUACCAAUUCCUGACAAACUCCGAAUGCUAUAAAAUGUUUGUGCGCAGUGAGGGCAUGGGUGCUAAGGUCCAUGUCCGAGAGGGAAAGAACCCAGAUCACCAGCUAAGGUCCCAAAGUAUAUGCUAAGUUGAUAUAACGCGGUGGAACUGCAUUGACAGCCAGGAUGUUGGCUUGGAAGCAGCCAUUCAUUUAAAGAGUGCGUAACAGCUCACUGGUCGAGCGGUUCCGCAUGGAUAAUAAUCGGGCAUAAGCAUAUCACCGAAGCUGUGACUUCUGUACUCGGUACAGAGGGGUAGGGGAGCAUUGUAGUGCCGCUGAAGCUACGCUGUAAGGCGUGGUGGAGGAGCUACAAACGAAAAUGUAGGCAUAAGUAACGAUAAUGCGGGCGAGAAACCCGCACGCCGAAAGACCAAGGUUUCCCCAGCUAUGCUAAUCAGCUGGGGGUCAGUCGGGACCUAACACGAACCCGAAGGGGGUAGUGGAUGGACAACAGAUUAAUAUUUCUGUACCUGCUCACGCUAAAAGUGACGGGGAUGUGGCGUUGGUGCGUACUGACGGAAUAGUACGUUGAAGGGAGCGGUGACGCCCCGAUAGUACACUGAGGCUC
rnacentral:rRNA from 1 species